GCGGGUUGGGGAUCUGGUGUGGCGGCAGCUGUGGUGUAGGUGGAAACUGCAGCUCAAAUUUGAUCCCUGGCCUGGGAACUUCCAUAGGCCAUGGGCGCAGCUGAAAAAGAAAAAAAAAGAAAGUACAUAAAAUCAACAGAAUGAGGAGUUCCCAUUGCAGCACAGUGGUAAUGAACGGGACUAGUAUGCGUGAGGACUCGGUUCGAUGCCUGGCCUCGCUCAGUGGGUUAAGGAUCCAGUGUUGCCGUGAGCCGUGGUGUAGGUUGCAGACAAAUCUCCAGUCCAGCUUUCUGUGGCUGUGACUGUGGUGUAAGCUGGCAGCUGCACCUCCGAUCUGACCCCUAGCCUGGGACUUCCGUAUGCCAUGGGUGCAUGCCUAAAAAGACCAAAAAAAGAAAAAAAAAAUCAACAGAAUGAGAGGAAGAAUUAGAGAAAAAUAAAUGAACAGACCCCUACCCCUUCCCUGCUGGAGGACUCCCUAGCUUUGAAUUGGAUGCUAAACUGAAGUUUUCAUCCAGCCUGGGCUGGAUUUGUUUUUCCAGGCUGAGCUGCAAAUUGGCUGGAUCAUCACAUUCAGUGCCUCUGAGAAGCCCGUCACACAGAUCUUAUCUUAACAGUGGACGCAGAGUUGUUCAAAGUUUUCAGUCAAGCAGACGUGUACAAAACUCACCAUUUGAGAAGAUAACACAAGCCCAACCUACCCUUCUCCUACAGCCCCGUCAUUGCUUUCUCAGAUGGAAGUCUAUGUCUCAGAAAAGCAAAGUAUCCACCUCAAGAUCAGCAGUUACUAAGUAAUGUAAUUGCUACUAUUACAACACACUUGCCAAUAUUAACCAAUUUUAUGUGCCAUAAAAUUAGAGAGCAAAAUGUCUAUUAAAUGGUUCAUGAUUAUGCCACCUAAACAUAUGGCGGAGUCUGGUCGACCUGCAAAUAUUCUCUUUCCCUCUCAGUUCAUUGCUCUUUUUUCUAGUUUCACAGGCUGAGAGAACACCAGCAUCUCUCCACGUUAAACUUAGACUCCAAUUCUGAUCUCUGAACACAGAAUCCUCUGAAAUCCAAUCUGAAAAACACAGAACAUUUUAAAAGGUAUUCUUACCUCUAAUUUUGUCUGUAAAAUUAGAAUAUUUUGUUCUAAUGUACAUUUUUGGUUGUAGGUCAAAACCACUUUUUAAUGUCUCCUAUAAGAUCUAGGUCCUUAUCUAAUGCUUCUUCCAUGAAACUAGAUGUAAUUUUGACUUGUGAUUCGGUUAAUGCACCUAUGGUGAACCAUGUUUCGUCGUCCAUUAUAAUUUCAUAUUUGUACUUAUAUAAAUGCCCAGAACUAAGCAUUUUUUCAUUUUAAAAAUAUGUAAAGCUAUUUUAACGAGCACAUGCUCUCUACACCUCUUCCUCUAACCUUUCUGACAAUGUUAAAAUUUCCUAACUUGGUAGAUUUAUGAAUUAAAAAAAUAAUCAGUGGGAAAGCAUGUCCUCCAUUAACCUAGGACAAAAUGUUUCAUCCAUUAAAAACAAGAACCAAAAAACCUGACCAUACUAUUCCAUGGAAAUAUUUCUGAAGGGUCAAAUACAGCCACUAUUGAAGAGUGGAUAGAGAAAAUGGGGAUGUGAUUUUAAAAAUACAUGAAAAUAUACACUCAUGUACAAACAAGCA
rnacentral:lncRNA from 1 species